CCUGGCUCAGGAUGAACGCUGGCGGCGUGCCUAACACAUGCAAGUCGAACGGAGAUUUAACGCUGAUGAGGCUUCGGCGGAAUCUUGUUAAAUCUUAGUGGCGGACGGGUGAGUAACGCGUGGGCAACCUGCCUCGUACUGGGGGAUAACAGUUGGAAACGACUGUUAAUACCGCAUAAGCGCACGGUAUCGCAUGAUACAGUGUGAAAAACUCCGGUGGUACGAGAUGGGCCCGCGUCAGAUUAGCCAGUUGGCGGGGUAACGGCCCACCAAAGCGACGAUCUGUAGCCGGACUGAGAGGUCGGACGGCCACAUUGGGACUGAGACACGGCCCAAACUCCUACGGGAGGCAGCAGUGGGGGAUAUUGCACAAUGGGCGAAAGCCUGAUGCAGCGACGCCGCCGUGAGUGAAGAAGUAUUUCGGUAUGUAAAGCUCUAUCAGCAGGGAAGAAAGGCCCGCAAGGGAGAUGACGGUACCUGACUAAGAAGCCCCGGCUAACUACGUGCCAGCAGCGGC
rnacentral:rRNA from 1 species